rnacentral:tRNA from 1 species
GGGGGCAUAGCAUAAUCUGGUAGUGUAGCCGGCUCCAGACCGGCUGGGCGGGGUUCAAAUCCCUGUGUCCCCA